UCUUUAAUAUAGAACUUAUGAAGUUUGACAGGUAGAAGAACCGACACAAUCUAGUGAACCCAUAAAAUUGAAUUUGAUUAGAUCAAAUCCGAAAUCCAUUAUAGAGGCACCAUUAAGGAGAUCCGAUAGAGUACCACGUUUGUCAGAUAGAUACUUCGGUAUCUAGUUCUGGGACGUGAUCCUGUUAAACUCGAUAAAAACAACAAA
rnacentral:lncRNA from 1 species